UACCCCCAGGGGAAGUCGAAUCCCCGCUGCC
rnacentral:tRNA from 1 species